rnacentral:ncRNA from 2 species
GCUCCUUGGCUUUAUGCCUUGAUUCAGACAGUGAGGAUGAGCUAAAACGUUCUGUGGCCCUCAGCCAGAGACUUUGUGAAAUGUUAGGCAACGAACAGCAGCAGGAAGACCUGGAAAAAGUAUUCUGGUUUCUUCUAAAAGUAACUCUCUUCUUCAGGAUUCAAAAUUAUGCCCAAUAGAGCCUGACAAGUCUGAAUUGGAAAACUCAGGAUUUGACAGAAUGAGCGAAGAAGAGCUUCUAGCAGCUGUCUUGGAGAUAAGUAAGAGAGAUGCUUCACCAUCUCUGAGUCAUG